rnacentral:tRNA from 2 species
GCGGCGGUAGCUCAAUGGCAGAGCCUCGCCCUUCCAAGGCGAUGACGCGGGUUCGACUCCCGUCCGCCGCUCCA